GCAUCGGUGGUUCAGGGGUAGAAUGCUCGCCUGCCACGCGGGCAGGCCCGGGUUCGAUUCCCGGCCGAUGCA
rnacentral:tRNA from 1 species